rnacentral:sRNA from 1 species
AGGUGCGGUCGGGGCCGGAGGCUGCGAGUGGUCACGGUCUGAGUAUCUGAGACUCCCAGGCCCUGGUUGGUCCUGCCUCUUCUCCUUCAUAGUGUCCCAGUGUUGCCAGGAGGGCGCUGGUGGUAGCUUGGACCUUGUGUGCCAACGCUUCCUCAGGUCUGGGCCUAACAGCCUCCACUGCCUGGGCUCACUCAGGGAGCGCCUCAUUAUUUGCGCAGCCAUGGAUUCUAUCCCAGCCCCAUCAUCAGUUCAGGGACACAACCUGACUGAAGAUGCCAGACAUCCUGAGAGUUGGCAGAACACAGGAGGCUAUUCUGAAGGAGAUGCAGUAUCACAGCCACAGAUGGCACUAGAGGAGGUGUCAGUGUCAGAUCCACUGGCAAGCAACCAAGGACAGUCACUCCCAGGAUCCUCAAGGGAGCACAUGGCACAGUGGGAAGUGAGAAACCAGACCCAUGUUCCAAACAGAGAACCUGUUCAGGCACUGCCUUCCUCUGCCAGCCGGAAACGUCUGGACAAGAAACGUUCAGUGCCUGUAGCCACUGUAGAACUAGAAGAAAAGAGGUUCAGAACUCUGCCUUU